CACAACCUACGGGAGGCAGCAGUGAGGAAUAUUGGUCAAUGGGCGAGAGCCUGAACCAGCCAAGUCGCGUGAGGGAAGACGGUCCUAUGGAUUGUAAACCUCUUUUGCCGGGGAGCAAAAAGCGGUACGUGUACCGCAUCGAGAGUACCCGGAGAAAAAGCAUCGGCUAACUCCGUGCCAGCAGCCGCGGUAAUACGGAGGAUGCGAGCGUUAUCCGGAUUUAUUGGGUUUAAAGGGUGCGCAGGCGGCGAGGUAAGUCAGCGGUAAAAAUUCGGGGCUCAACCCCGUCCGGCCGUUGAAACUGG
rnacentral:rRNA from 1 species